rnacentral:rRNA from 1 species
AUACGGAAGGUGCAAGCGUUAAUCGGAAUCACUGGGCGUAAAGCGCUCGUAGGUGGCUUUGUAAGUCAGGUGUGAAAGCCCACGGCUCAACCGUGGAAUUGCACUUGAUACUGCAUUGCUUGAGUUCGGGAGAGGGUAGUGGAAUUCCAGGUGUAGGAGUGAAAUCCGUAGAGAUCUGGAGGAACACCAGUGGCGAAGGCGACUACCUGGACUGUAACUGACGUUGAGGCUCGAAAGCGUGGGGAGC